rnacentral:rRNA from 1 species
UACGUAGGGGGCAAGCGUUGUCCGGAUUUAUUGGGCGUAAAGAGCGUGUAGGCGGUUUGGUAGGUCCGUUGUGAAAACUCGAGGCUGCAACCUCGAGACGCCGGCGGAAACCAUCAGGGCGUAGAGUCCGGAAGAGGAGAGUGGAAUUCCUGGUGUAGCGGUGAAAUGACGCAGAUAUCAGGAGGAACACCCGUAGGCGAAAGCGGCUCUCUGGGACGGUACUGACGCUGAGACGCGAAAGCGUGGGGAGCGAACAGG